rnacentral:rRNA from 1 species
CUACGGGAGGCAGCAGUGGGGAAUAUUGCACAAUGGGCGAAAGCCUGAUGCAGCGACGCCGCGUGCGGGAUGACGGCCUUCGGGUUGUAAACCGCUGUCGGGGGGGACGAAGCUCUGACGGUACCCCCAAAGGAAGCACCGGCUAACUCUGUGCCAGCAGCCGCGGUAAUACAGAGGGUGCGAGCGUUGUUCGGAAUUACUGGGCGUAAAGGGCGCGUAGGCGGUUCGGUAAGUAGGGGGUGAAAUUCCACGGCUCAACCGUGGGACUGCCUUCUAGACUGCCGGACUUGAGCACGGUAGAGGCAGAUGGAAUUCCCGGUGUAGCGGUGGAAUGCGUAGAGAUCGGGAAGAACACCAGUGGCGAAGGCGGUCUGCUGGGCCGUUGCUGACGCUGAGGCGCGACAGCGUGGGGAGCAAACAGGAUUAGAUACCCGUGUAGUCC